rnacentral:lncRNA from 1 species
AUGAACUUAUUCUUAAAUUGCGUGCACGGAACAUGAGUAAAUAACCAACAUCAAAAGGUUGCCAUUGGGUCAAAAGUGGAUAAACGGCAUACCCAUUAGCUGACAAUGCACCCCACUUUAGUAUUAACUUUGUCUAACGCCAGACAAAUUUACACUCUGUAACACCAGACGAUUUUACUUGUCAGUUGUAGAGCAUAUCAGUAUCUGUUAAUGUCUCUUAUUAACCGCCACUGGCUGGCAAUGCGCCAUACUUUAGUAGUUACUGCCUAUCCACUACCUGUAGGUAGCAAUUUUGUUUUGGGGGAGCUGAUUAGUCAGGGGCGAUUAUUAGGUAAUUAUAUCCCUCUCAAACUUUACAGAUUAUCGC